UACGUAGGGCGCAAGCGUUAUCCGGAAUUAUUGGGCGUAAAGAGCUCGUAGGCGGUUUGUCGCGUCUGCCGUGAAAGUCCGGGGCUCAACUCCGGAUCUGCGGUGGGUACGGGCAGACUAGAGUGAUGUAGGGGAGACUGGAAUUCCUGGUGUAGCGGUGAUAUGCGCAGAUAUCAGGAGGAACACCGAUGGUGAAGGCAGGUCUCUGGGCAUUAACUGACGCUGAGGAGCGAAAGCAUGGGGAGCGAACAGG
rnacentral:rRNA from 1 species